UAUUUUGAAAAAGAAAAACAAAACGACGCCGGAUAAGCAGUAAACUAUCAAUCAAGCGACGAGGAAACCCUAACCCCAGAUAGACAGUAAGGAUUCUCCCCCAGUUUGUUCAGAGCAGAGGAAGAAGAACCCUAAAAGUCCAUAAUCCAUGGGUAAGGUGCACGGAUCGCUGGCACGUGCCGGGAAGGUGAGGGGCCAAACGCCUAAAGUGGCAAA